AUUGAACGCUGGCGGCAGGCCUAACACAUGCAAGUCGAGCGGUAGCACAGGAGAGCUUGCUCUCUGGGUGACGAGCGGCGGACGGGUGAGUAAUGUCUGGGAAACUGCCUGAUGGAGGGGGAUAACUACUGGAAGCGGUAGCUAAUACCUCAUAAUGUCGCAAGACCAAAGAGGGGGGCCUUCGGGCCUCUUGCCAUCAGAUGUGCCCAGAUGGGAUUAGCCAGUAGGUGGGGUAACGGCUCACCUAGGCGACGAUCCCUAGCUGGUCUGAGAGGAUGACCAGCCACACUGGAACUGAGACACGGUCCAGACUCCUACGGGAGGCAGCAGUGGGGAAUAUUGCACAAUGGGCGCAAGCCUGAUGCAGCCAUGCCGCGUGUAUGAAGAAGGCCUUCGGGUUGUAAAGUACUUUCAGCGAGGAGGAAGGCAUUGUUGUUAAUAACCACAGUGAUUGACGUUACUCGCAGAAGAAGCACCGGCUAACUCCGUGCCAGCCGCCGCCGUAA
rnacentral:rRNA from 1 species